rnacentral:misc_RNA from 1 species
UACGGAGGGUGCAAGCGUUGUUCGGAAUCACUGGGCGUAAAGCGGGUGUAGGCGGCCGGCUGUGUCGAUUGUGAAAGCCCUCGGCUCAACCGAGGAAGUGCAGUCGAAACUGGCCGGCUUGAGUACGGGAGAGGAAGGUGGAAUUCCCGGUGUAGAGGUGAAAUUCGUAGAUAUCGGGAGGAACACCAGUGGCGAAAGCGGCCUUCUGGACCGAUACUGACGCUGAGACCCGAAAGCGUGGGGAGCAAACAGG